rnacentral:rRNA from 1 species
AUAUUGCACAAUGGAGGAAACUCUGAUGCAGCGACGCCGCGUGAGUGAAGAAGGUCUUCGGACUUGACGGUACCCAAGAAGAAAGCCCCGGCUAACUACGUGCCAGCAGCCGCGGUAAUACGUAGGGGGCAAGCGUUGUCCGGAAUUAUUGGGCGUAAAGGGUGCGUAGGCGGCCUUUUAAGUCAGAUGUGAAAGCCCGCGGCUUAACUGCGGGAUUGCAUUUGAAACUGGGAGGCUUGAGUAUCGGAGAGGGUAGUGGAAUUCCCAGUGUAGCGGUGAAAUGCGUAGAUAUUGGGAGGAACACCAGUGGCGAAGGCGACUGCCUGGACGAAAACUGACGCUGAGGCACGAAAGCUAGGGGAGCAAAC